AUAUGUUUAACACAUGCAAGUCGAACUUAUUUUCAAAAAAACUAAGUAGAAUGAAAAAAAGUUCCUAGUGUGAAGAUUGUUUGCUCCCAAAGAAGUGGAAUAAUUGAAAAGAAAGUGAGGAAUAAGUGAAUAAUGUAUGAGAAUUUAUUGAAUAGUUUGAGCCUAAUCCCGAAGAAAGUUAAAAAACAUUUUUUUAUGAACUUGCAUACUAGUAAGUAGUUGGUUAGGUUAGGGAAAGGCAAACCAAGCCAAUGAUACUUAGUUGCUCUUUUAAGAUGAUCAGUCACACAAAGACUAAGACAUGACCCAAACUCUCAUGAAUGGCAAAAGUGGAGAAUCUUAGACAAUGGGCGAAAACCCAAUUCAACAAUAU
rfam:Vigna angularis cultivar Jingnong 6 chromosome 1, whole genome shotgun sequence.